UGGUGGAGUGAUUUGUCUGGUUGAUUCCGUUAACGAGCGAGACCUUAACCUGCUAAAUAGUUACGCAAACCGUCUGACUAUGCGGUGCAGGGGGACGGGCGCAGCACUUUAAUCGGUGCUGCCUCUUCCCUCAAAUCCGUUGAUGUGUUUGUGGCACACUUCUUAGAGGGACAAUUCGUAUCUAGCGAAUGGAAGUUUGAGGCAAUAACA
rnacentral:rRNA from 1 species